rnacentral:rRNA from 1 species
GAUGAACGCUAGCGGCAGGCCUAACACAUGCAAGUCGAGGGGUAGCAGGAUUAAGCUUGCUUAAUUGCUGACGACCGGCGCACGGGUGCGUAACGCGUAUGCAACCUACCUUAUACUGGGGUAUAGCCCGGAGAAAUUCGGAUUAAUCCCCCAUAGUACUAAUGAAUCGCAUGGUUUAUUAGUUAAAGCAUUGCGGUAUAAGAUGGGCAUGCGUCCUAUUAGCUAGAUGGUGAGGUAACGGCUCACCAUGGCUACGAUAGGUAGGGGGCCUGAGAGGGUGGUCCCCCACACUGGUACUGAGACACGGACCAGACUCCUACGGGAGGCAGCAGUGAGGAAUAUUGGUCAAUGGGCGCAAGCCUGAACCAGCCAUGCCGCGUGCAGGAAGAAUGCCCUAUGGGUUGUAAACUGCUUUUAUUUGGGAAUAAACCUCUUUACGUGUAGAGAGCUGAAGGUACCAAAUGAAUAAGCACCGGCUAACUCCGUGCCAGCAGCCGCCGCGG